AGAGGGAGCCUGAGAAACGGCUACCACAUCCAAGGAAGGCAGCAGGCACGCAAAUUACCCACUCCCGGCACGGGGAGGUAGUGACAAAAAAUAACGAUGCGGGACUCUUUUGAGGCCCCGUAAUCGGAAUGAGUACACUUUAAAUCCUUUAACGAUAAUCAAUUAGAGGGCAAGUCUGGUGCCAGCAGCCGCGGUAAUUCCAGCUCUAAUAGCGUAUAUUAAAGUUGUUGCGGUUAAAAAGCUCGUAGUUGGUUCUGCGUGCCACGCUGUCGGUUCGCCGCCUGUCGGUGUAACUGGCAUGUCGUGGCAUGUCCUGUCGGUGGCGAACUAGGGCCACGCUCGUUUUCCCCACUUGGGCUUUGUCUCGAGUGCGCGGAGCGGCGUGGUGACUGGGUUCGCCGGCUCUAUCCUGCCGCGGUGCUUUUAACCGAGUGUCGAGGUAGGCCGACACGUUUACUUUGAACAAAUUAGAGUGCUCAAAGCAGGCUUAAAUCUCUGCCUGAAUAGUGGUGCAUGGAAUAAUGGAACAGGACCUUGGUUCUAUUCUGUUGGUCUCCGGAACACAAGGUAAUGAUCAAUGUGGACAGGCGGGGGCAUUCGUAUUGCGACGUUAGAGGUGAAAUUCUUGGAUCGUCGCAAGACGCACUAGAGC
rnacentral:rRNA from 1 species